GACGAACGCUGGCGGCGUACUUAACACAUGCAAGUCGAACGAUGAAGCCCAGCUUGCUGGGUGGAAGAGUGGCGAACGGGUGAGUAACACGUGAGUAACCUGCCCUGAACUCUGGGAUAAGCACUGGAAACGGUGUCUAAUACUGGAUACGACCUAUCACCGCAUGGUGUGUGGGUGGAAAGAUUUAUCGGUUCUGGAUGGACUCGCGGCCUAUCAGCUAGAUGGUGAGGUAAUGGCUCACCAUGGCGACGACGGGUAGCCGGCCUGAGAGGGUGACCGGCCACACUGGGACUGAGACACGGCCCAGACUCCUACGGGAGGCAGCAGUGGGGAAUAUUGCACAAUGGGCGCAAGCCUGAUGCAGCAACGCCGCGUGAGGGAUGACGGCCUUCGGGUUGUAAACCUCUUUUAGUAGGGAAGAAGCGAAAGUGACGGUACCUGCAGAAAAAGCACCGGCUAACUACGU
rnacentral:rRNA from 1 species